CGAUCUUGGCGCGCCGGGCGGUCUCCGCCGGCGCGGCGACCUCCACCGGUCGGGCGCCGUCCGCGGUGGCGGCCGGCGGCGCAGGGGACGAGGCGCGGUCGCUGCGGCCCGCCGCCGCCGCUACGGUCGCGAGGACAUGCUCCUGGCGGUACAGCGGCCGCGCGGAGACAGAGAGGGAGAGGGGCCGGGGCGCACCGGCGGGGAGGGGAGGGAGGUGGAGGGGCUUGAAUGCCGGUUUUGUUGUGGCGGCCACGGCCGCGGAGGGCUUGACGGAGGCGGCGGCGGUCAGCAUUGUGGCGAAGGGAAGGAUGGCCUGGGCUGGCGAGUUCUCGGGGUCUUGUCGGGGGGUGGCAGGCGCCUGCGGCUGCUGCGGCGGCGGUUGUGUAUGUGUGGUGUGUGAUGGUC
rnacentral:lncRNA from 1 species